UCUUUGCAAUUUAUUUAUCUUAUUUUGCUGGCUAAUUUUUUCAAUUUCUCUAUAUUUUAGAGGCUAAGCCGUUACGCACAAUCGUAAGUGAUUUGUUGACUUAUGUACUUUAGCUUCUAAGCUAAUGGGUUAAAGUGGCGUUCCGAGUCUAAAUAAGGGCAAGCAUAGAGAGUGAGAGUGAAGUGAUUUAUGGGGAAUGUCAUGUGAUGGAACUUGGAAGACACUAGCUUUCAGUGCCACCACUGCCCCUGCUCCCCAUUCUAGGAUUCCGAUUAACCCAUGCGUGAUUUUACAGAACUGAGGUAUUAGAGUUUAGUUCUGAAUGAACAAUAAUGACCUUAGCAUGACCCAAAUGGAUCACUGCUUUUACAUUGUAAAAAAAAAAAGAUCACAUAUUUAGUGGUCUACACCCCUGAGAAUAUGGUGAUUAAGCUCUUUACAAUGCCUGGAAUAGCACUUCUAAAUGAAGCAUUUGAGGCUUCACCAAACGAAUGACUCUAGGUAGAGGAUGACAUUGAUUUACAAAAUGUGAUAUGAUGGAGUUUCUUAACUUUCAAUAUGAUUUUGUAAAGGAGUUGGUUAUCUCCUUGUUAAGGUGAUGCUUUUUUUUAUUUUUCUUUUCUUUUAUUCCUCGAGGAAUGCUGAUAUCUGUAAUGGAGAGGCAUUUCUUGUAAUGCUGAUAUUGUGUUUUUCCUUCCUCGGACAAGACUGCUAAAAGAACUAUAAAACAAAUAAUUUUACAUCUGAAUUCACGUCGAUAUUCAAAUUAUUGAUCUUAAACCAAUAUAGUUGGUGUUACUGAUGAAUAUUAGGUCUGACAAAAGUACUGCAUAUGAAUUAUUAUCUUUUACUUCUUGGUUCAUUGGUUGAUCGAACUCUUGCUUCCCAAUCAUGUACAUUUGUAAGCUACUGUGGUGGUCUUGGCCAUUUCUAAUUUGGGGGUUUCAGAAUACAUGGAUCUAUGUUGCCUGUACAUGGCACAUACGAAUCGCCUACUUUAACCGUUUUCUGAGGGGAAAAAAAAUCUUUUUUGGGAUAAAAAUACACGUGACAAUUUGCUCACUAGAGUCAAUUUUUGGGUCUUCAGAUAGAUAUCAGCGUUGCCUAAGGUUGGUGCUGAAAGAUUUAAAUGAUACAAGAAGAUAACACAUUUUAAAUGGAAUACUAUCACACACAUGGAUCACCGCCUCUUGUAUAAAAGGGUAGUGUUGAGUUAUUACUUAUGCUUGGUUAAAAUAGCUUAAGAUUUAAGUGCAAUGUUAGUGAUCAUUACAAGAACGUAGGGUAGAACAUUCUUCCUGAAUAAGCAUAGUGGUUGCACGCCUCAGAUAUUCUUACAACAAUUAUUUAGAAAAUAUCUAACAUACAUACCUUCGACCAGUCAAUGCAUUUGAAAAUGACGUGACAAUAGGGAUCAAAAGCUUGUUUCGAGCCUUUCUAUGUCCCCGUGUUAAUUAUUUGCUGAAAAAACAUAAGAUUCUUACUCUCUGCCAGUUGCUGAAUCAGAAUUGCACCUGUGCCUUGCCAUUUCUUUCUUUCCUCUUCAGUUUUAAAGGAUUAGGUUCUGAACACAACCAAGCACCCCCAGCCCCCCCCCCCCCCCCCCC